GACGAACGCUGGCGGCGUGCCUAAUACAUGCAAGUAGAACGCUGAAGAGAGGAGCUUGCUCUUCUUGGAUGAGUUGCGAACGGGUGAGUAACGCGUAGGUAACCUGCCUGGUAGCGGGGGAUAACUAUUGGAAACGAUAGCUAAUACCGCAUAAAAUGGAUUAUCGCAUGAUAAUCCAUUGAAAGGUGCAAAUGCAUCACUACCAGGUGGACCUGCGUUGUAUUAGCUAGUUGGUGGGGUAACGGCUCACCAAGGCGACGAUACAUAGCCGACCUGAGAGGGUGAUCGGCCACACUGGGACUGAGACACGGCCCAGACUCCUACGGGAGGCAGCAGUAGGGAAUCUUCGGCAAUGGACGGAAGUCUGACCGAGCAACGCCGCGUGAGUGAAGAAGGUUUUCGGAUCGUAAAGCUCUGUUGUAAGAGAAGAACGAGUGUGAGAGUGGAAAGUUCACACUGUGACGGUAUCUUACCAGAAAGGGACGGCUAACUACGUG
rnacentral:rRNA from 1 species